rnacentral:lncRNA from 1 species
AAAAAAAAAAAAAAAGAAAAAAAAAUAGGCUGCAAUUCAGUGGAAACAAAGGAAAAAGUUGGUGCUUGUGUAAGGCCAGGGCACAAAUCUGCGGGAGCAGAGCGGGGCAGGGCUGGCGCAACGCUUCCCAAAAGGUCAUUUUCUCUUCCUCUCCGACCUCGGGAAGUGGUGAUGAUGGGCUCCAGCAACAGCUAAAGAGCUUCAGCCAUCAGAAAAUACGUUUAUUUAUUUAUUUUUUUUAAACAGCAGUUCGAGGCAGUGCUGGUUUUGGUACUGCAGCUGCCGAACCUCAGCCCCGGCCCAUUUUACAGAGGGGUUGGAUGAGAACUAGCGUGAUUUACCCCAAAAAGGGGAUUCUGCCUGGAGCAGCAGGAGACAUCCCAUGGCAGGAGAGGGCCCUGGGGCUGGGGGCUUAGCAGGAUGAGCCCCCCAGCAGGAUGUUUGUUCAACGCUAUGGCUGGGGAUGAAAAACACGAGUGGGAUGCAUGCAGCUUGCUGCAGGAGGUGUAGAGGAACCCUGUCACUCAGGCGGAUCAAAACAAGCUGGAUUUCAUCAUCAGGAGGCAUGCUUGGUGCAGCUAAAGCUGGUUCUGGAGUUUUUAUUUAUUUAUUUGUACUUCUUGGCUUUGUUUCUCCCUUAGUUUAAGCAACUGCUUGCUACUUCUCCCCAAGCCAGAGCCGAGCACGCUCCUGCCGUUACCAAAGUGCACAUUACAGCAGGGAGAAUGAAUUUUGAAUGAUUUUUUUCCCCUGCCCUGUUAUUUCUUUAGAUGGUGGACACCAUCAUCAGGGGGUGCUGCAGACCUCAAAGCACAAGGGGACAAAAGGGACAGAGAAUGCACAUGUGCUGUUGUCAUACCGGUGCCCCAAAGAACACGUGCAGCUUUUGCAAAAGGAAAAUGUCCCUAACAGGGAAGAAGCAGCAGGGUGUUUCUAACUUGUCAAGAAUAAGAAAAGAAUAAACGAGCUGCCUGAUUGCAAGGUGGCCCCUCAGACUUUCCCUACCUCGAGUUCCCAUUUUUACAUCUUUUAUUGCCAUAGCUCGCAUCGCCCCGGCGUUCCUGCGCUCUCCCGUGUGGAAUUUCUUAUGCUGCCUCCCCAAAAAGCCGUCUGGGAAAUGCCAGGUCAGCCGGAUCAUGCUGAGGACUAAAUUAAACAAGGAAACACCUCCGCUUGUCCUCACCCAUCAGGAAAUCCAUUUUUUAAACCUCAGAUCAAGGCAAUUCAUCUUCCCAUUAGGACAGAGCUGGCAUAUCCAAUGAAAUCCAGUUUCCCUGGAACAGAAGGUCUGCAAGACUAAUGGAUUAGCGUGCUGAGCCAUUACAUCUGCUGACUUCAACCGACACCACAUCUCCCAUGUGCUACGGAAACGAUGUGGGAAUGUAAAUUUGGGAAAGAAUAUNNNNNNNNNNCG